CCAAGACUUUAAAUAUGCUUUGCUAAACAUCUUCACUAAAAGUUCUUUCCUUUUUUCCCUCUGUUCUGCCAGGAACUUGGAAAGAAAAGAAAACAAGAUCUUCAUUUGGGACGUCCAGUAUCUCACUGCAACGUAAGAACUCAUCUUCCUGUCUUAACUGGUUAGAGAAGACGCUCAUUCUCUGUUAAACAAAAGUGAAAACGUGAACUUUUCCUCCUUACAAUGCACAUCAUUUUAUUAACUGUUGAAUGAAAUCUGCCGGCACUCUAUUUACAAAACGAACCCACACAAAGCCCAGCUCACACCACGCAUCUGUCAUGAACUUGACUCUCUUACAGCUGUUCUAAUACAAGAUUCUCCCUAAUCAUUCUUAGAAUUUCAGCAGAUAACUGACCCAAGACUUUAAAUAUGCUUUGCUAAACAUCUUCACUAAAAGUUCUUUCCUUUUUUCCUCUGUUCUGCCAGGAACUUGGAAAGAAAAGAAAACAAGAUCUUCAUUUGGGACGUCCAGUAUCUCACUGCAACACAAACUAAAUGUUUUCUAAUUUACUCAUCUGCACCCCUUAGUCAUUCAUUCUUGUUUACGAGUGAAAAGAAGAACUUGGCAGAACGCAUUGCAGCCAUUUUCCAUGCAGAGUGUGUGUGUGUGUGUGUUCUUCAGGAAAGGGGAUUGUGGAAAGGCUGCGUACUUUUUUUCCCCUCUUUUAAACCAAUCAGCAUUGCUUUGGUAUGAGUCACUCCCACACCCUACCCUUAUAUGACAAAGAGAGGAGGGGCUGUUUCUCAGACCAGACAGUGAAAUGGUGGCUGCUUGUAUAAAAACAGCAGCAGCACCAUUAGGAACUGAGCAGCUACAGACACAUUUACAGGUAAGAUCCGUAACUUAGAACAUUCUUCUGCCUCUCGAUUGAGAAUAUUUAUGCUGUUACAUGUAACUGAACAUUGCUGUUCGUCUAACCCUCUUGAGCUAAUUGUGUUAGCCUGUUAACAAGCCAUCAUUCAUUCAGCCUAGAAACCUAUUUUACCAAACCAGCAAAGAUAAACUGAAUGUUAUAGAAGAAACUGUUGCAUUUAGGAAUUAUUUUCAUUUAUAGCAAGGAAAACUUGGGUAAAACCAAAAGUAUGACAUCAUUCAUUAUGCCAUGUGGUUUAAUAGAUAUGUCAAGCCCAACGUGAUUAUCAACUGCAUUGUUUUAGUUGUAGAAUUACUAGUUCGGUUUGUUUUCUUGAGCAAACUGUUUUUUAUUUACUAUUAAAUAAUCCGUCAUAUUGUCGGAAUUUGAGUCAGUACUUCCUGUGAACUUCCAUUCUGAAAACACAAAAAUCUGUAAAUAAAAUGAAAUGCUGUUCUGUUUAUAGGUUAAGAUGUUUUACAGUAUAUAACUUUGUCCCUAGUAGGAAAGUUCAUAUUUUAGUGACCUAUUAGGAAAAAAAGAUACAGUUGAAUACUACGGCUCAGGACACCACAGAUUCAGAACUGGACAGCAACCUUUUACAGUCUAAGAAAGAGAAAAUAUAGUCCUAUUAGAAAACCUACAGCUGUCUUUUAAGGUAGAAUCUAACGGUCACUUAACCUCAUGAGUGACUGAUUUGGGACACUCUACAUAGGCUACCCAAGAGACUUGACUUACAUUUGAUUCCAAUAGAAAUUGAAGUUAGUAUGUUGCUGAGCUAACAGCAUGAUACUCUAAUAUGUAAUAAAAAAAAUUCAAAAUGCACACAAAUAUUAAUUAAAAUAUUCCAUUUUGAAUUGCUGAACUUUUUUAUAAUUCAGUACUGAAUGAAAUGAAAGUUUACAUUCCACAAUGCUAUUUCUCUUUUGACACUGCAAGUCAAAAAUGCAAAUUGUGGAAUUGCCCUCUCUAUAA
rnacentral:lncRNA from 1 species